ACCCUUUAAUGUUUGAUGUUCUAACGUGGACCCGUGAUCCGGGUUGCGGACAGUGUCUGGUGGGUAGUUUGACUGGGGCGGUCUCCUCCUAAAGAGUAACGGAGGAGCACGAAGGUUGGCUAAUCCUGGUCGGACAUCAGGAGGUUAGUGCAAUGGCAUAAGCCAGCUUGACUGCGAGCGUGACGGCGCGAGCAGGUGCGAAAGCAGGUCAUAGUGAUCCGGUGGUUCUGAAUGGAAGGGCCAUCGCUCAACGGAUAAAAGGUACUCCGGGGAUAACAGGCUGAUACCGCCCAAGAGUUCAUAUCGACGGCGGUGUUUGGCACCUCGAUGUCGGCUCAUCACAUCCUGGGGCUGAAGUAGGUCCCAAGGGUAUGGCUGUUCGCCAUUUAAAGUGGUACGCGAGCUGGGUUUAGAACGUCGUGAGACAGUUCGGUCCCUAUCUGCCGUGGGCGCUGGAGAACUGAGGGGGGCUGCUCCUAGUACGAGAGGACCGGAGUGGACGCAUCACUGGUGUUCGGGU
rnacentral:rRNA from 1 species